rnacentral:rRNA from 1 species
UGGGGAAUAUUGGACAAUGGGCGAAAGCCUGAUCCAGCCAUGCCGCGUGUGUGAAGAAGGUCUUCGGAUUGUAAAGCACUUUAAGUUGGGAGGAAGGGCAGUAAGCGAAUACCUUGCUGUUUUGACGUUACUCGCAGAAUAAGCACCGGCUAACUCUGUGCCAGCAGCCGCGGUAAUACAGAGGGUGCGAGCGUUAAUCGGAUUUACUGGGCGUAAAGCGUGCGUAGGCGGCUAAUUGAGUCGGAUGUGAAAUCCCCGAGCUUAACUUGGGAAUUGCAUUCGAUACUGGUUAGCUAGAGUGUGGGAGAGGAUGGUAGAAUUCCAGGUGUAGCGGAGAAAUGCGUAGAGAUCUGGAGGAAUACCGAUGGCGAAGGCAGCCAUCUGGCCUAACACUGACGCUGAGGUACGAAAGCAUGGGGAGCAAACAGG